rnacentral:rRNA from 1 species
UACGUAGGGUGCAAGCGUUACUCGGAAUUACUGGGCGUAAAGCGUGCGCAGGCGGGUUUGUAAGCCAGAUGUGAAAUCCCCGGGCUUAACCUGGGAAUGGCAUUUGGGACUGCAAGGCUUGAGUGCGGCAGAGGAGACUAGAAUUCCUGGUGUAGCAGUGAAGUGCGUAGAUAUCAGGAGGAAUACCGAUGGCGAAGGCAGGUCUCUGGGCUGACACUGACGCUGAGGAGCGAAAGCGUGGGGAGCGAACAGG